GAAAUGCGAUAAGUAAUGUGAAUUGCAGAAUUCAGUGAAUCAUCGAAUCUUUGAACGCACAUUGCGCUCGCCAGUAUUCUGGCGAGCAUGCCUGUUCGAGCGUCAUUUCAACCAUCAAGCUCUGCUUGCGUUGGGGAUCCGCGGCUGCCCGCGGUCCCUCAAAAACAGUGGCGGGCUCGCUAGUCACACCGAGCGUAUUAACUCUACAUCGCUAUGGUCGUGCGGCGGGUUCUUGCCGUAAAACCCCCAAUUUCUAAGGUUGACCUCGGAUCAGGUAGGAAUACCCGCUGAACUUAAGC
rnacentral:misc_RNA from 1 species